AAACUACUCUAAAUUCCGGCAAGUAUUCCGCAUGCAAACUAAGUAUUCCACUCCUUUCCCUAAAAACUAGUUUGAAAUUUUAUCCUACUAGAAGCAUUUAUAUAUUCCUGGCAGGCGUAUCGUCUACCCACUUCUCACUGAUAUACUCUUAAUAACUUCCGUGCAUUACAUUUGCAUUUGAAAUCUGGUAAGAAUAUUUCACACAGUGCGACAUAUGAUUUCAUGUAUAGCGAGUAAAGUAUCUCCCAUAAUAUUUGUACUAUUUCAAAAUUGACAUAUUAAGUUGGAGUCAGUUUGCAACGAUUCCCACAGUACAAAAUUAUGCGAUGAAUAGACACGUCUGCCAGAAGUUGGGGAUUCACGCUUGUUUUGCGUGCAAUACAGGUUUUCUAUUUUGACAUUUUGGAUUGGUCACACACAGAAUUGCCCAAAAUGUACCUAAAAUGGCAACGUUUCAAGGAUUUCUCUGAAUAAUCUCCACAGGUGGAGCUGUGAAAUUGAAGGACUUGUUAGUGUAUGGGGUAUAAUGUACGCAACUUUUAUAACGCUUCACCUUAGACGAUAUUAGCUACAUAAUGGACCUGUGCAUAUUUGAUUGUGCAUAAUGGCACUACUAUUGUGAAUACAUGUUUUUCUUUUUAAAUAAUAGAGGGUUUUGAAGAAGUUGGUGGGCGGUGUUGUCUUAUUAAUCAAUAAAGAUGCACUACAGACCGAGAAGGAACAUGGUGCCAGAAGAACAUCGUUUUAUUAGGAAACAUUUCAUGGCUAGCAGUGACAAGCUUAAUGAUGAAAUGGGUACAUCAAUGGCUAACAUAAACCAAGGGUAUGGGAAUGAGUAUUCUGCAAAAGGGAAGAAAGUGGGUUCUGGCAGCACGAAGAAUAUGUUAGGAGGGGGGCCAUCUACAAGCUGGUUCUCUGGAGCUGAGGACAAGUUGAUUGAAUUGUCAAGUCCAAGUGUGAAAAUCCGUGAUCCUCUUCCUGUGGGGUAUGUUUCGUUAAGGCAGUUGAAAUGUUUAAGAGAAGCUGAAACCAGCAAGGAAUCUGGGUCAGAGAUGACACACACACCGACAGUUUUUAGCGAAUCCCAAACAAAUAAAGAUACGGGUACAGAUGAAAAAGGAGUGAAAUUGAAUGUGGAUAUGGGUAUUGGAGAUGGGAAUCUAGAUAAAAAGGAAGUGAAACAAACAAGAAUUCAAGAGGGUGUUCCAGAUAAAAGUCAAGACAACCAGAGUGGGAACUCAGGAGCAUGUAAAGAGCAGAUAGGUAAAAGUGGCAAAAACAAUAACGACGGGAGAAGUAAUUUCAAGGAAUCAUUGCAUGGCAGUGUUUAUAGUAGGGAUAGGAAAAAGGAAUAUGAGGGGAACAGGAAAGCAUUUCGUGUUUGCAAGCAGGACUUGGUGUAUAUCAGCAAGACAAAGCUUCCAAGUGAGCCUCUCUUAAAAAUACAUGGCACAUCCUCCACUAACAGGACUGAAGAGUCGGGAGAGUCCAGCCACGCCAAAUCAGUGUCUGAUAUUCCCAGAGCGUCAGGAGAGAUGUCCCAACAAGAAGGAGAAAUUGGGAAUCCGAGAGCAAUCAAGAGGGAGGCUUCCUCUCGACGGGAAGUAUAUGGCGAGCAUAAAUUUAAUGGGGCUAUCGUAGACCAGGUACGGAAAUGGAGUGUAAAGACGUCUCCAGAGGCAUCAAGAGGGAUUUCAAAUGAUUUGCACACUUACCGUAGGUCAGAUGCUCCUCCUCUUAGAGGAACUUCUGCUUCAAAAGGAAAUGCUGAAAGAUCCAAUCAAGGUAGAGAGAGUUUUGAGAAUUCAAAAGAAGUUGGAGGCCCUGGAACUGGAAGGCUUGGUUUUCUUGUGAUGGGAAAUAAUGGAGAAGGGGAGAAUGAUUUGCAAAAUGUGAAGGUUCAAGGUGAAGUUGCGAAAGAACUUGGAGAAAAGGGUAAUUUUGUAUGCAAUACAUUUUAUCAAAACCAAAGUGUGAAAAUUCAAGAUUCACCUUCUCUAGGAUAUGUUCCAUUAAAGCAAUUGCAGCUUUCAAAAGAAUAUGAAAGAAGGAAGGAGCGUGGAUCAAAGAUUUAUAUUUCAAAUCAAGAUACUUGCACAAUUUUUAACAAGUCCUUAAGAGAUAAGGAGAGUUCCUCAGAUAAAAAUGAACAAAAAGGGAAUGGGGACACAUGCAUUGGAGAUGAAGCUUUAGAUAAGAAUGAUGAAAUCCAAACAGGGGGUUCAAGAAUUGAACAUGUAGCCUCAAACAAAGAUGAACAAAGAGAAACUAGAAAUUUAGAAGCAUCUAAAGAACUUUUAGGUAAGAAUAGCAAAAAAUUUGGAACUUUCAGAAUGAAUGUUAAAGCAUCAUCACAUGAUAGUAUCGAAGUAAGUAGGAAACAAGAGCAACAUGUUCGAAGGAAGAAUAUUGAGGCGUCUCAGCAGAGGAACCAAAAUAUUCUACCUAAAGAGGCCUCUACUUCAGCAGGGACUAUUUCAAGGGUUAUUCAAGGCAGAGAUUGUUUUGAAUUUACAAAAGAAAUAGGAGGAAAUGGAAAUGGAAAUAAUGGUUUUCUUGGAACUGGGACUGAUAUGAAAGGGGAAGAUGAUCCGAGUCAUGUAGAAAAUCAAUAUUUCGAGUCUGAAGAUCUUGGAGAGGAGGUUGUUUCUGUAUCACAUAUAUUUAGUCCAAACUUAAACGGGAAAAUUCAAGGUUCUCUUCCCUCACGAUAUGUUGCAUUAAAGCAACUACAAAGCUCAAAAGAAUCUGAGACCAGGAAGGACUGUGGAUUGAAGAUUUGCAUUCCAAAACAAAACACACACAGAAUUUAUAAUAAACUUCAAAGAAAUAAAGACUAUACAGGAAUAGGAAAUACAACUUUAGAUAGCAAUCAAAUGAGACAAACAGAGAACUUAGUUAUUGAAGACAGGUCUUUAGAUAAAAAUAAAGAAACUGAGAAUUUGAGAGUAUUUAAGGGACAGAGAUGUAAAAGUGGCCAAAUAUAUGAAAGUGUCUUGAUGGACAGGCAAACAGCUGCUAGAGGAUCAUUGCAUGGUAGCGUUGAAAUGUGCAGUAAGGAACUGGAACAACAUGGUGACAAGAAAGAAGUCCAGCCUUUGCAGAAGGGGAACCGAGACAAUUACAGAAGAUAUCUACCUAAAGGGACUUAAGACUACCGUAGGGAUCCAUCAUGGCAGAGAGAGUUUUGAAAGUGCAAAAUUAACUGGAGAUAUGGUAAUGGAGGGCAUGGUUGUCUUGGAGAAUUCUUCUCAACCAUUUUUCAACAUGGUAUCGGAUUAUGUAAUGGCUCUGUUCCUGUAAGUGGAAAAUCCACUUAGGCAAGUUGAGAGCAUGGCAAAAUUCCCAUGGCAAUGGGGUUCAGUAUGAAGAUAUGGAGAAGUUACAUCCUGUACCAUACAAAGAGAUAAUUUUGUCUACAAGACAAUCGCCACGAAAACUCUCUGAUUGGGGUUGUUUUAAAGGCCUUUGAUGAGAGUAUAGUCUUUGUCAGCGAAUUGUAGACUUUAGUCUCCAGCUGUUUUCUUACAAGUCUUGGAUGGUUAUAAAUUCCCUUGGGCAUCUUUUGACAUGUACAUUGAACUGAAGAAUGCCAUGUGCAUUUUGAAUGUGAUUCUGUCAUGACUACUACACAAACCUAACAAAGAGAAAGCUGUAUAUGUUUUAACGUCUUUUUAAAUUCUUUGUUUUGUGCAUGGACAUUGUGAUAUAUUUUCCCUGUCGUGAAGGCUGGGAAAUUUCAGGAGUUGUGUUUGCUAAUGUUGAGGUACAGAUUUUUCUGACAACUUUGUUUUACAAGCUUUGUUGCUUAUGAGGGAAAUUGUUAAAAAAAGAAUUGUGCAGCAGUAAAAAUCAAACAUUUUGAAAGGAAAGUAGGAAAAUU